rnacentral:tRNA from 1 species
GCCUUCGUGGUGUAGUGGUCAGCACGUUGGACGCGUGACCGAGAGGUCCGUGGUUCUAAUCCCGGAGAAGGCG